rnacentral:tRNA from 1 species
AAAAAGGUAAGCUAAGUAAAGCUAAUAGGUUCAUACCCUACAUAUAGAAAACRAAUUCUUCUUUUUA